AACGAACGCUGGCGGCAAGCCUAACACAUGCAAGUCGAACGGAUAACUGCCUAUAGCUUUUUUGUUAUAGGCAGUUAUUAGUGGCAGACGGGUGAGUAAUGCAUAGGAAUCUACCUAGUAGUAUGGAAUAGCCAUUAGAAAUGAUGGGUAAUACUGUAUAAUCCCUGCGGGGGAAAGAUUUAUCGCUAUUAGAUGAGCCUAUGUUAGAUUAGUUAGUUGGUAAGGUAAUGGCUUACCAAGACUAUGAUCUAUAGCUGGUCUGAGAGGACGAUCAGCCACACUGGAACUGAGAUACGGUCCAG
rnacentral:rRNA from 1 species